AACGUAGGUGGCAAGCGUUAUCCGGAUUUACUGGGCGUAAAGCGUGUGCGGACGGGGCUUCAAGUGGCGUAUGAAAUCGCUCGGCUCAACCGGGCGCGGGUAUGCCAGACUGGAGUGCUAGAGGGUGCGAGAGGGACGUGGAAUUCCGGGUGUAGUGGUGAAAUGCGUAGAGAUCCGGAGGAACCCCUGAGGCGAAGGCGGCGUCCUGGCGCACUUCUGACGUUCAGACACGACAGCAUGGGGAGCGAACGGG
rnacentral:rRNA from 1 species